rnacentral:rRNA from 1 species
UACGAAGGGGGCUAGCGUUGCUCGGAAUUACUGGGCGUAAAGGGAGCGUAGGCGGACAUUUAAGUCAGGGGUGAAAUCCCGGGGCUCAACCUCGGAAUUGCCUUUGAUACUGGGUGUCUUGAGUAUGAGAGAGGUGUGUGGAACUCCGAGUGUAGAGGUGAAAUUCGUAGAUAUUCGGAAGAACACCAGUGGCGAAGGCGACACACUGGCUCAUUACUGACGCUGAGGCUCGAAAGCAUGGGGAGCAAACAGG